UGCCCAGCUCAGGGUUCCAGUAGGCCAUGAUCGAUGCAGUUCCCAAGCUGACAGCGCGGGUUCGAUUCCCGUCAUCCGCUCCA
rnacentral:tRNA from 1 species